UCGAGGAUCUUCGGCAAUGGGCGCAAGCCUGACCGAGCGACGCCGCGUGUGCGACGAAGGCCUUCGGGUUGUAAAGCACUGUCGAGGGGGAGAAAAGCCGAGAGGCCUGAUCUAUCCCUGGAGGAAGCACGGGCUAAGUUCGUGCCAGCAGCCGCGGUAAGACGAACCGUGCGAACGUUGUUCGGAAUCACUGGGCUUAAAGGGCGCGUAGGCGGGUGGCCGCGUCCGCGGUGAAAUCCCCCGGCUCAACCGGGGAAGUGCCGCGGGUACGGGCGACCUCGAGGCGGGUAGGGGCGUGCGGAACACUGGGUGGAGCGGUGAAAUGCGUUGAUAUCCAGUGGAACUCCGGUGGCGAAGGCGGCACGCUGGACCCGAUCUGACGCUGAGGCGCGAAAGCCAGGGGAGCGAACG
rnacentral:rRNA from 1 species